GGGCUCGGGCAGCGGCCCGAAUUUUGAGCAGGUCCAGAGCAUUUCCAGCCUUCCUAUUGGUUUCCUCACGAAAUUCUUUCCCGGAAACUCCAACACCGCGACAGCGGCGGCGGGGAGGAGGCGGACGCCUGACUUCCGACGACCGCCUUCUCCGUGCCGAGCGACUCUUUCGUUAACUGCGGCGGUGAUAACACGUUCUUCUAUCUCCUCCUCCCUCUCAACUUCACCUUCACUCGCUGUAACGGCUGCCACCCCCGCCCCCUCCCCGAUCUCAGUGCUGAGCAGAUGGGGCUGCCGCCAGUCCCGCCGUUCUACGGCGUCAACGGGAGAGACAGCGGCGAUGAUGGGCGACUGCCAACUUCCAGCCGACACCCGCGACGAUCGUCUCCGGUGGCCACCGCCGGCGGGCGGUACGGCUACGACCGCUUCCUCUUCCAGUGGCUCGGCCAGCAGGCCCGCCAGGUGUUCGAGACCCUCCUGAUCCUCCAUCUCGAGCUCGGCGCCUCCGCCACCUGCCGCGCCGCCUCCUCUGCUUCGGCAAGGACGGCUACGUUACCCUCUUCUCCCGCGGCUCCGAGCGCCUUGGCCCCAAGUACGGUCGGCGCGGAUUCGCCCGCCUCCUCGUGGGCACAUCCCGGCCGCCAAAGUAAUUGAGACGGCUGGGAGUUGAGGUGAUAUCGAUCGGACGGUGCAGGAUCUCUACACCGCGGAUGUGAGGAGGAUGGUGGUGGGGUUGGGGGGAGUGGGGCCCGCCCGCGGAUCGUGUGAGAGUGGGCGUACGGGUUGGACGGACGAGAUUGCGUGGAAGAGGUGGACGAGAUUGUCGCGGCGUAUAGCGCGAAGCUCUCCGCCUGACUUCGGAGACUGGAUUCUGAGCUGGCAGCCGCCGGGAUCGCGCGCCGUGAUGUGUAUCACGGGCGGUGAUGGAGAUCAUCACCAACCCUCUGAUCCAUGGUUGCAUUUGAUGCAUCUCCGGACAAUCUUAGAAGGUAACGUAGAUGGUCUUCAAGAUAGAUUGCAAUCAGUAAAUUAUCAAUAAUGUUGAUUAUUAUAUAUGGUAUACAUAGAUAAUAUUACAGUAAAAUUAUUAAAAAUUUUGAUUGCAUAUUUGGUAUGACAAUCGGAUUAUCAGUAAUGUGAAAUCAAAUUCUUAAAAUAUCUCUAAUAAUUUUAUCCGGA